GUUUCAAUAAGUGGAACUGGAACAGGGAAUAGCAGAUGACCUUGAGAUUCAUCACAUUGUUGUGAAUGACUGGGACCGCGGUGUGGAUGCUGACCAGAAUGUGGUUCUGAUAUCAGUCCCUAGUGUUCUUAGCCCGAACCUUGCGCCACCAGGAAAACAUGUUUUGCAUGCUUACUGUCCUGGAACCGAACCUUUCAGUCUCUGGGAAGGUCUUGACAGGAGAAGUGCCGAGUACAAGAAUCUCAAAUCCCAACGGUCCGAGGUGAUGUGGAGAGCAGUUGAGCGGGCAUUAGGGCCCGGGUUCAAGAGAGAAAAGUGCGAGGUGAGUUUGGUUGGAACACCAUUAACGCAUCAGAGGUUUCUAAGGAGGAAUAGAGGAACGUAUGGGCCUGCCAUAGAGGCUGGGAAAGGUACGUUUCCUGGCCAUUCCACUCCUAUUCCGCAGCUUUUGUGCUGCGGUGACUCGACCUUUCCCGGGAUUGGUGUUCCUGCAGUGGCAGCUAGUGGCGCCAUUGUGGCGAAUUCCCUUGUUCCUGUUUCUAAGCAUUCUGAGCUUCUUGAUGCUAUUGGCUUGUAGAAAGAUAUGCUAUUGAUUACCAUAUAUGUAUGUUUCGUCUAGUAACAUGUUUUCAUACUAUACUACCGAAGCUAGCAGUUUCGCGAUAGCAUUAGUGGAUUAUUUACCGUAAUGAUUGGUAGUGGGAUAUCUAAACAUA